GGGGGCGCAUUGGUUUCGACGGGGAUGUGGAAACCAAAGUUGCAGGUCGAGGCGCCGCUGGCCUCGUAAAAAGCGGCACAAAAGUAAUUGCCAAUAACGAUUACGACUACGCUUACGCUGCCUAAAAACAGCGAGGCACCUGACCACAUUUGAUGGUCACGUCAGACGGGCCGACGCCUGAUACGUCCGGCUGGCGACAUCGCAUCAGGCUGGUGGAGCUUGGCGCCUGCCGGGAGUUUCCACGAGAUCUGUACCGGCGGGAUUGCUGCUCUGUGCCCGGUCAGGGGCGAGCAGGGUGGUGAAAUUUGUUCCUGACCUAAACCUGUAGACGCUUUGCGUGGAAUGUUCUCGGACGGGGGUUCGACUCCCCCCGCCUCCACCA
rfam:Desulfovibrio piger ATCC 29098 Scfld4 genomic scaffold, whole genome shotgun sequence.